AUCGCACAUAAUCUCGAAGGUUAUUUUUUUGGUUUAAUUUGGUAUUUUUUUUAUUAAUAAUCAACAAACUUUAAUGGGUUAACCCAUUAUACAAUUAACAACCAACAACUAUUUUCUUGACCCAGCCCAACCAGAGUCCAAAAUAACAAAUAAAAAUAGUAGUAGGGUUUCAAAAAUAGGAAAUAGUUGCCUAAUCUCUUUCCCAUUCCCUUCUCCUUUAAAAAUAUGGCUCCCCUUCUUCAACAGUAGCUUUCUCUACCUACUGCUAUGUACAAUCAACAUCUUUUCUCCAUCUCCAUAGUGCUCUUGAUAAUUCAUUUUACAAAAAUCUGGAAGGGAUGAAGAUAGAAAUGCUUGGAACCUUGAAGAUCUGGUAUAUGCCUUAUGCCCAGAUUUCUGAAGCUCAACUUCAACCAAUAAACACUCCGAUGAUGCUGAGAAUCCAUUUUAUUCGUUGUAAUAGUCUUGGCUAGCUAGAACAUGCUUUUUUUUUUAUGUUUCUAUGUAGUGUACAUAUGUAGCAUAUAAAAUAAUUCACCCAAGCCACCCCCUUCCCUUUAACCACUUAUUGGUAUAAUUCUUAUGUAAGGGCUCUUUUAUUUAUCACUAUCUAGAAUAGAUUUUCCUUGUUUAUAUAAAUGUUGAACACUGGUAAUAGUGACUACUCCUGUGUCUAUAGCUAGAUUAAUAAGGUAAUUUGCUACUUAUUUCCCUCUCUGUA